UACGGGGGGGGCAAGCGUUGUUCGGAAUUACUGGGCGUAAAGGGUUUGUAGGUGGCCAACUAAGUCAGACGUGAAAUCCCUCAGCUUAACUGGGGAACUGCGUCUGAUACUGGUUGGCUUGAGUGCAGGAGAGGAACGCGGAAUUCCAGGUGUAGCGGUGAGAUGCGUAGAUAUCUGGAGGAACACCGGUGGCGAAGGCGGCGUUCUGGACUGCAACUGACACUGAGAAACGAAAGCCAGGGUAGCAAACGGG
rnacentral:rRNA from 1 species